GAAGGCAAGGAGGAGCAAGUCACAUCUUACGUGGAUGUCCAGAGAGCUUGUGCAGAUACACAAAAAAGGCCAGUCAUGAAUCACGCCAAAUUGGAAGCAACCAAGAUGUCCUUCAGCGUGUGAAUGGAUAAGCAAACUAUGGUGCAUUCAGGUUAGGCGAUGCUUUCCUUCACUGUCCAGUUUGCAGAGCCGUCUUGGAGCUGGCGCGGGUCCUCCCUCUGUCGUCCUGGCUCUUGGAAAGGAACCAGGCGGGCUGAGGAACUGGCGCGCCCUCGUCCGCCCACAAGUCCUUGGAAAGCGCAGGCCUCGUGCGCUCUCCAGCGCCCUUCCAGGGCGCAAGGGCAGGACAGGUACAUCCCGCGUGCUGCGGUGGCGAUCAGCGCGGACACGGAGCCUGGCUCCACCCGUCCGCCCAGCCUUGGGGUUCUGCCAGAGCGCCGGGCGCAGAGCAAGCGGGUCUGAGCUCCAGCACCUUUGGCAGCUCCCGGCCCCGGGGUGCGAACGGCGGCCGUGGCUCACCGCUUCAGGAGCAGGCGACCAGGACACUAGGAAGAGAAGCCCGGACCAGGGCUAGUUUGUUUCCCCAACUCCUCUGGCCAGCUCAGGUUCUUAAACCCGCCGUGCAACAGACGCAGGUACCGGCUCAGAAAGCUCAGUCAGUGGUGCAGGAAGCCUGGGUCGCGGUGCAUCGUGUUUAAAAAUAAACACACACUUCCCUUGGG
rnacentral:lncRNA from 1 species